rnacentral:rRNA from 1 species
AGCGAACGCUGGCGGCAGGCCUAACACAUGCAAGUCGAACGAACCUUUCGGGGUUAGUGGCGGACGGGUGAGUAACACGUGGGAACGUGCCUUUAGGUUCGGAAUAACUCAGGGAAACUUGUGCUAAUACCGAAUGUGCCCUUCGGGGGAAAGAUUUAUCGCCUUUAGAGCGGCCCGCGUCUGAUUAGCUAGUUGGUUGAGGUAAUGGCUCACCAAGGCGACGAUCAGUAGCUGGUCUGAGAGGAUGAUCAGCCACAUUGGGACUGAGACACGGCCCAAACUCCUACGGGAGGCAGCAGUGGGGAAUCUUGCGCAAUGGGCGAAAGCCUGACGCAGCCAUGCCGCGUGAAUGAUGAAGGUCUUAGGAUUGUAAAAUUCUUUCACCGGGGACGAUAAUGACGGUACCCGGAGAAGAAGCCCCGGCUAACUUCAUG